rnacentral:rRNA from 1 species
AACGAACGCUGGCGGCAUGCCUAACACAUGCAAGUCGGACGAAGCCUUCGGGCUUAGUGGCGCACGGGUGCGUAACGCGUGGGAAUCUGCCCUUUGGUUCGGAAUAACAGUUGGAAACGACUGCUAAUACCGGAUGAUGACGAAAGUCCAAAGAUUUAUCGCCAGAGGAUGAGCCCGCGUAGGAUUAGCUAGUUGGUGUGGUAAAGGCGCACCAAGGCGACGAUCCUUAGCUGGUCUGAGAGGAUGAUCAGCCACACUGGGACUGAGACACGGCCCAGACUCCGACGGGAGGCAGCAGUGGGGAAUAUUGGACAAUGGGCGAAAGCCUGAUCCAGCAAUGCCGCGUGAGUGAUGAAGGCCCUAGGGUUGUAAAGCUCUUUUACCCGGGAUGAUAAUGACAGUACCGGGAGAAUAAGCCCCGGCUAACUCCGUGCCAGCAGCCGCCGUAA